ACGUGCCCAGAUCUACGGAAUAGCCACUGGAAACGGUGAGUAAUACCGUAUACGCCCUUCGGGGGAAAGAUUUAUCGGAUUUGGAUCGGCCCGCGUUAGAUUAGGUAGUUGGUGGGGUAACGGCCUACCAAGCCUACGAUCUAUAGCUGGUUUUAGAGGAUGAUCAGCAACACUGGGACUGAGACACGGCCCAGACUCCUACGGGAGGCAGCAGUGGGGAAUCUUGGACAAUGGGGGCAACCCUGAUCCAGCCAUGCCGCGUGAGUGAAGAAGGCCCUAGGGUCGUAAAACUCUUUCGCCUGUGAUGAUAAUGACAGUAGCAGGUAAAGAAACCCCGGCUAACCCCGUGCCAGCAGCCGCGGUAAUACGGAGGGGGUUAGCGUUGUUCGGAAUUACUGGGCGUAAAGCGCACGUAGGCGGAUUAGAAAGUUAGAGGUGAAAUCCCGGGGCUCAACCCCGGAACUGCCUUUAAAACUACUAGUCUAGAGUUCGAGAGAGGUGAGUGGAAUUCCGAGUGUAGAGGUGAAAUUCGUAGAUAUUCGGAGGAACACCAGUGGCGAAGGCGGCUCACUGGCUCGAUACUGACGCUGAGGUGCGAAAGUGUGGGGAGCAAACAGGAUUAGAUACCCUGGUAGUCCACACCGUAAACGAUGAAUGCCAGUCGUCGGGUAGUAUACUAUUCGUGACACACCUAACGGAUAAGCAUUCCGCCUGGG
rnacentral:rRNA from 1 species